rnacentral:miRNA from 1 species
CUGAGUCCGGUGGGGCAGUGUGU